rnacentral:rRNA from 1 species
AGUGAACGCUGGCGGCAGGCCUAACACAUGCAAGUCGAGCGGCAGCGCGUCCGACCACCCUCGGGUGGUCGGAUGGCGGCGAGCGGCGGACGGGUGAGGAAUGCAUCGGAAUCUGCCUCGUUGUGGGGGAUAACGUAGGGAAACUUACGCUAAUACCGCAUACGACCUACGGGUGAAAGUGGGGGACCUUCGGGCCUCACGCGAUGAGAUGAGCCGAUGCCGGAUUAGCUAGUUGGCGGGGUAAAGGCCCACCAAGGCGACGAUCCGUAGCUGGUCUGAGAGGAUGAUCAGCCACACUGGAACUGAGACACGGUCCAGACUCCUACGGGAGGCAGCAGUGGGGAAUAUUGGACAAUGGGGGCAACCCUGAUCCAGCCAUGCCGCGUGUGUGAAGAAGGCCUCGGUUGUAAGACGACUUUGUUUGGGUAGGAAACGGACCGGGUUAA